AUUGAACGCUGGCGGCAGGCUUAACACAUGCAAGUCGAGCGAGGUGAUGGUGCUUGCACUAUCACUUAGCGGCGGACGGGUGAGUAAUGCUUAGGAAUCUGCCUAUUAGUGGGGGACAACAGUUCGAAAGGAAUGCUAAUACCGCAUACGUCCUACGGGAGACAGCAGGGGAGCUUCGGACCUUGCGCUAAUAGAUGAGCCUAAGUCGGAUUAGCUAGUUGGUGGGGUAAAGGCCUACCAAGGCGACGAUCUGUAGCGGGUCUGAGAGGAUGAUCCGCCACACUGGGACUGAGACACGGCCCAGACUCCUACGGGAGGCAGCAGUGGGGAAUAUUGGACAAUGGGCGGAAGCCUGAUCCAGCCAUGCCGCGUGUGUGAAGAAGGCCUUAUGGUUGUAAAGCACUUUAAGCGAGGAGGAGGCUACUUUAGUUAAUACCUAGAGAUAGUGGACGUUACUCGCAGAAUAAGCACCGGCUAACUCUGUGCCAGCCGCCGCGGUAAAAC
rnacentral:rRNA from 1 species